GGCCGUCGAGGGGCGGUCCCCGCCGGCCCGAUGAGGCCGGGCGGGCCGGACUCCCGGGCUGGACUCCCGGGGCGGUCUCC
rnacentral:tRNA from 1 species